rnacentral:rRNA from 1 species
AUUGAACGCUGGCGGCAGGCUUAACACAUGCAAGUCGAGCGGAGAGAGGUAGCUUGCUACUGAUCUUAGCGGCGGACGGGUGAGUAAUGCUUAGGAAUCUGCCUAUUAGUGGGGGACAACAUUUCGAAAGGAAUGCUAAUACCGCAUACGUCCUACGGGAGAAAGCAGGGGAUCUUCGGACCUUGCGCUAAUAGAUGAGCCUAGGUCGGAUUAGCUAGUUGGUGGGGUAAAGGCCUACCAAGGCGACGAUUUGUAGCGGGUCUGAGAGGAUGAUCCGCCAGACGGGGACUGGGCCACGGCCCAGACUCCUACGGGAGGCAGCAGUGGGGAAUAUUGGACAAUGGGCGGAAGCCUGAUCCGGCCAUGCCGCGUGUGUGAAGAAGGCCUUAUGGUUGUAAAGCACUUUAAGCGAGGAGGAGGCUACUUUAGUUAAUACCUAGAGAUAGUGGACGUUACUCGCAGAAUAAGCACCGGCUAACUCUGUGCCAGCAGCCGCCGUAACAC